GACGAACGCUGGCGGCGUGCCUAAUACAUGCAAGUGGGACGCAAGGAAACACACUGUGCUUGCACACCGUGUUUUCUUGAGUCGCGAACGGGUGAGUAACGCGUAGGUAACCUGCCUAUUAGCGGGGGAUAACUAUUGGAAACGAUAGCUAAUACCGCAUAAUAUUAAUUAUUGCAUGAUAAUUGAUUGAAAGAUGCAAGCGCAUCACUAGUAGAUGGACCUGCGUUGUAUUAGCUAGUUGGUAAGGUAAGAGCUUACCAAGGCGACGAUACAUAGCCGACCUGAGAGGGUGAUCGGCCACACUGGGACUGAGACACGGCCCAGACUCCUACGGGAGGCAGCAGUAGGGAAUCUUCGGCAAUGGACGAAAGUCUGACCGAGCAACGCCGCGUGAGUGAAGAAGGGUUUCGGAUCGUAAAGCUCUGUUGUAAGUCAAGAACGUGUGUGAGAGUGGAAAGUUCACACAGUGACGGUAGCUUACCAGAAAGGGACGGCUAACUACGUG
rnacentral:rRNA from 1 species